rnacentral:rRNA from 1 species
GAUUCUCCCAGUAACGGCGAGUGAACGGAGAUUAGCCCAUCACCGAAGUCUAUUCACGUUUGUGGACAGGACAAUGUGGUGUUAAGGCGUGCUCCUGGGAUCGUUGACCUGUCCCAAGUCCAACCUCGAUUGCGGCUGGCAUGUUGUCCAUAGCGGGUGAAAGACCCGUUUGGGCAGGUUGUUUGUGCUACGAUCCCUAGAUGGGUAUGCUGUCGAGUCGGAUUGCUUGAGAAUGCAGUCCAAAGUGGGUGGUAAACUCCAUCCAAGGCUAAAUACUGGCACGAGUCCGAUAGUAGACAAGUACCGUGAGGGAAAGUUGAAAAGUACUCUGAAGAGAGAGUAAAUAGUACGUGAAACCGCUUGCAGGGAAUCAGGUGGAGUCAAGCUUCAUGCUUGGAGGAUUGUUAUCCGAUCUAUAUCGUGUCGGGACAUGAGGCGUUGCAACUUGGAAUGAGUUGGGUGCACCCGUUGCACUUCAAGUCUACCGGGUAGCUGGAUUGUACUACGCCGCUAUCUCCCAGAUCGGAUGCCGAAUCUUCCUGUGCAUGGGUCACGGUUGGUGGCAAGUGUGUGCUAUGAUCGUCUAACAGUGUUCAUGCUAGCUUCUGCUGGCUGAGCAUUGGAUGGGAGGUGGCGCAGGCAGUCUGACUGUCCUGUGCUUAUUGCGGUUUCGACCGGCUGUUGAUCAUGGGGUCAUAUCCUUGCUAUCUGGUGGUAUGGUGGUCGAGCUACAUGCUCGAUGGCCUAUCAAGGCCGUGAUUCUUAUGAAGACGUUCCAUCUGACC